rnacentral:lncRNA from 1 species
CACGUCGGCUGGGCGGGCCUCAGGGAGCCCAUGGGCUGGGUGGGCGGAGCCGGCGGUGGCUGCAGGUUAGGCCCCUACCAUCGCCCUGGGCGGGGUUUCCAGGGGCGAGGCCGGAGAGGCUGCGCGGAACAGGAGCUGGGCCUUUCCCGGAGCAGCCCGGCCGGGCCUGGAAAAACUCCGAGCGGGAUUCCCAGCGCAGGGACGCCCACCGGAGCUCGAUGUCUCGGGCUGGAUAAGAAGGGGACCGGACCUCGGUUCCUUCCCCGACCCUGGG